CCGCCUGAACUAGUGAUGUCACAUGGACUGGCGGCACCAAUCAUGCCUCCCUGACAAGCGGCACUUGUGCAAGUCAGGCGUCACCUCCGUCGCCCCUGCACACUGCAAUUUUGCAGUGUUUAGUCCCUUCCAAGGGAAAAAAAAAAAAAGAGGAUGGGGGGCAGGGUCCCCUUUGUAGAAGGGUUCGGCAAGGAGAAAAAAAGAGGGAAAGAAAGGAGAGGAAGAAGAAGAAAGAAAGAAGGUAUGUAUUUUAGUAAUUAAUGUUUUUUUUUAUUUAAAGGGAUCAGUUAUUUUUUAUGUUUUUUUUGUUAUUAAUUAUUAUAAAUUGUUUGUGUUUAGUUUAGUGUUUUGUGAUUUUUUAUGAAUAUAAUUUUUUUGUUUUUUAAUUAUUUUAUAGUUAUUUUG
rnacentral:lncRNA from 1 species